AUCAUCUGGGGAUCUUGUUAAAAGGCAGGUUCUCAUUCAACAGGUUUGUUGUGAACCUGAGAUUCUGUAUUUCUAACAAGCUCUCAGGUGAUGC
rnacentral:miRNA from 1 species